AUUUAAAAAAGAUAAGAAUAUUUAUCCAGCAUGUUUCUUCCUAGCGAGUACAAGGUAUUGACUGCUGUGCAUAAUGAUAUACAGUACAACAGACAUCUAUAAAUGCAUCUUGCACAGAGAGCUCAAUAGAAGAAAUGAUCAGACCUGAAAUAUUUUGAACCCAAAAAGAAAACAUAACAAAAAAGAGAGAGAGAGAGAAGAAUUUAACGAGAUAAAAUGAAUUUUGAAACUGCUGACGAAAUAGAAUGUGAUUCACUAGCAGCAAGUGGAACUUUCAAACGUGGCUCUGAAAAUUGUGAAAAAGAAC